rnacentral:tRNA from 1 species
AAAAAGGUAAGCUAAUUAAGCUUUAGGGUUCAUACCCCUCAUAUAAAGGUACAACCCCUUUUCUUUUUA